CCAUAAUUGAGCCUGAGCGCAAGGGACGAUCCGGUCCACGGAGCUCGCCGUGAGAUUCUCCCCGCUCUCUGAGCCCGCUCAGGGGGGUCCACGGCUUCCAGGCACCAUUUUCCUCUUUUGUUGUCAGGGUUCGGCUAAUGAGCAGCCUCCUUAGCCCAUCUCUGCCCAGAUGUGGCCUUCAGGGCUCCCCGAGAUGGGGCCGGGCCUCAUGAGUCACUCACAGCGACCCGGGGCGCCGAGUCCGUUCCUGCGGCCGAGCAAGGCCUCGGAGCUGCUGAAGGGGCAUUCAUCCUCGUUUUAUGUGGGGAAAGCAGCGAGGAGAAAAGGAACACACUCUCCAAAAAUGAGCUCUGCUCCCCAUCUCCAGAGCAUCCUCCCGGCCCACUCCUUCCCUGGCUCUCCUUCCUGAUCACGGGCUUGUUUUUAUGAAUUUGAAAGGUAAAAAGCCAACGCUCCAUGGAACUUCAUGUUUUCUCCACCCCCAUAGUUUAUUAAAAAAACGAAACACCCAGUAAAUCAUUUUUAUGAGCAAUUAAGUACCCUCUAGUGCAUACAUGGUGGGCUCAGCUGACAAAUGGAUUGACGACCCAGGCUAGGGGCUGAGCUGGUCUCCCCCGGUUCUGC
rnacentral:lncRNA from 1 species